rnacentral:rRNA from 1 species
GACGAACGCUGGCGGCGUGCUUAACACAUGCAAGUCGAACGGAAAGGCCCUGCUUUUGUGGGGUGCUCGAGUGGCGAACGGGUGAGUAACACGCGAGUAAACUGCCCUUGACUUUGGGAUAACUUCAGGAAACUGGGGCUCAUACCGGAUAGGAGCUCCUGCUGCAUGGUGGGGGUUGGAAAGUUCCGGCGGUUGGGGAUGGUCUCGCGGCUUAUCAGCUUGUUGGUGGGGUAGUGGCUUACCAAGGGUUUGACGGGUAGCCGGCCUGGGAGGCUGACCGGCCACAUGGGGACUGAGGUACGGCCCAGAAUCCUACGGGAGGCAACGGUGGGGAAUAUGGCGGAGUGGGCGGAAGCCUGAUGCGGCAACGCCGCGUGCGGGAUGACGGCCUUCGAGUUGUAAACCUAUUUCGCCGGUGACGAAGCGUGAGUGACGGUAAUGAGUAAAGAAGCACCGGCUAACUACGUG